UGGGGAAUAUUGCACAAUGGGCGAAAGCCUGAUGCAGCAACGCCGCGUGAGUGAUGAAGGUCUUCGGAUUGUAAAGCUCUGUCUUUUGGGACGAUAAUGACGGUACCAAAGGAGGAAGCCACGGCUAACUACGUGCCAGCAGCCGCGGUAAUACGUAGGUGGCGAGCGUUGUCCGGAUUUACUGGGCGUAAAGGGUGCGUAGGCGGAUGUUUAAGUGAGAUGUGAAAUACCCGGGCUUAACUUGGGUGCUGCAUUUCAAACUGGAUAUCUAGAGUGCAGGAGAGGAG
rnacentral:rRNA from 1 species